UGAGCUUGAUUCCUGGCUCAGGACGAACGCUGGCGGUAUGCCUAAUACAUGCAAGUCGAACGCUGAAGCACUCUGCUUGCAGAGUGCGGAUGAGUGGCGAACGGGUGAGUAACACGUGGGUAACCUGCCCAUAAGAGGGGGAUAACAUCCGGAAACGGGUGCUAAUACCGCAUAGGUGAACGGAGCGCAUGCUCUGUUCAUUAAAGGUGGCCUUGCGCUACCGCUUAUGGAUGGACCCGCGGCGUAUUAGCUAGUUGGUGAGGUAAUGGCUCACCAAGGCGAUGAUACGUAGCCGACCUGAGAGGGUGAUCGGCCACACUGGGACUGAGACACGGCCCAGACUCCUACGGGAGGCAGCAGUAGGGAAUCUUCCACAAUGGGCGAAAGCCUGAUGGAGCAAUACCGCGUGAGUGAAGAAGGUCUUCGGAUCGUAAAGCUCUGUUGUUAGAGAAGAACACGCAGAACAG
rnacentral:rRNA from 1 species